AGACUAAAUGUGAACAAAUUUUUGGAUAAUUUACCAAUUAAAAGUUAUUGUUUUGGGUUGUUGCAUUCUUGACUAAAUGUAGAUAUGCUUUGUUAUUCUUCUGCAAUCUUAAAUUUGUAAUUAUUUACCUUGCAGGUGGGUGGCUGCUUUCUAUAUAUUGUUGGAGUCGAUUAAGAAUCCUGGUGGUUUGUUUGCUAUAUGUUGCAAUAAUAUUUAUACUAGUAUUUUGGUGGUUUCUUGCAAUAAUAUUUGUACUGUAUUGUACUGCUGUUUAAAUUUCUGGUUGGUUUGCUAAAUUUUGCAAUAAUAUUGAGGACUGGAUUGCUUAUUGCGGCUUUAAAGAAAGAUUCUGCAAAACAAGUGCUUUAAGUCCUCCACUUAUGAUCAUCACAUAAUCUAGGUAAGUAUUCAUGCCCUAAUUAACAAAUACUACCUCCAAUUCAAUUUGCUGCACUUGCUUGCUUAUUUGUUGAAACAAAUCUCCUAGUUAAAUUGGAAUGGAGCCUAGGUAAAUAGUCAAAAUACCAUCUCUCUCCUUUUCUAGUUCAAUUAAUUAACAUGUUAUACAAUAUACUCCCUAUAUUGAUACAUCUUACUCUUCUAAAAUCAAUGGAAGAAUUGGAUUGAAUCAGGGAAUAUUGGGAGUCCAUAAAUAUGUGGUAAAAACCCACUAUUCAAGUUUUGAUAUUCGUUUGGGCUAUAAAUUUUUUAUGUUAUUCAAUUUAUGUAACAUGUGUGCAAUGUAUUAUUUUUGCACUGUGUGGUUUGUAUUGCAA
rnacentral:lncRNA from 1 species